rfam:Stomoxys calcitrans breed 8C7A2A5H3J4 unplaced genomic scaffold Scaffold1217, whole genome shotgun sequence.
UGUAGUGCAGAGUUAAGCAUGUCCGCCUAUGACGCUGAUCACCUAGGUUCGAAUCCUGGCA